CGAAAGCCUGACGGAGCAAUACCGCGUGAGGGAGGAAGGCUCUUGGGUUGUAAACCUCUUUUCUCAGGGAAGAAAAAAAUGACGGUACCUGAGGAAUAAGCAUCGGCUAACUCCGUGCCAGCAGCCGCGGUAAUACGGAGGAUGCAAGCGUUAUCCGGAAUGAUUGGGCGUAAAGCGUCCGCAGGUGGCUAUGUAAGUCUGCUGUUAAAGAGUGAGGCUCAACCUCAUAAGAGCAGUGGAAACUACAUAGCUAGAGUGCGUUCGGGGCAGAGGGAAUUCCUGGUGUAGCGGUGAAAUGCGUAGAGAUCAGGAAGAACACCGGUGGCGAAAGCGCUCUGCUAGGCCGCAACUGACACUGAGGGACGAAAGCUAGGGGAGCG
rnacentral:rRNA from 1 species